rnacentral:lncRNA from 1 species
UGAAUAUAAGGAGAAUACAUCAGUUUAAUGUUUAGCUAUGUAAGUAGCUUCGUAGUUGAUUUGAUAUGUAGUAUAUAAAUGAGAUAUUCAUAAAAAAAAGUAAAAUAAAAAAAAAUACUGAACUCCGAUGAAAAUUCAAUCGGAAAGUCCCUAAUCACAUGGCAAAAUCAAAUGACAAAACACAUCAAAAACGAACGGACAACAACUAUCAUAUCAAUGACUUGGUACAAAUGUACAGGCAUUGUCAAAUGUAGAAAAUGGUGGAAUGAACCUGGUUUAAUAGCGCUAAAUCUCUCAAUCAAACGACAGUCCCAUCAAACUCCGAUAUAUUUACAACGAUGCGUGCACAAUAAUUUUGUAUUCCACAACUGCAACAAGUGUAUUACGAUAUUUCUCCACUCGAGACAGUUAACUUUUAAUAUUUAUAGCGCGAGGCUUGUCAAGUUUUUUAAAUAACUAAAAUUUAACUGUUGAGAUUGGCGAAAUAUCGUAAUACACGAGUUACAGUGGUUAAAUCUGUUUCUCUAAUGAUUUGUAUCCUUCCUUUUCAAAGAUUGGAGGAAAGAUGUGUACUUUUGAUGUGACGUCAUUAAGAAUGGUCGCAUUUUCACUAGUGAGGAGAAAUGUUUUUCUCACACCGGUCAGGUAAUGUGAAAAUAGCACAAAAAAUAGAGAAAUAUUCAUAUCAAAUAAAUAUUAUUUUUAA